AAAAAGAGACGAACUGCUCUCAUUCUUCGCCAUUAGAUCGACAACUCCAUUAACUUCUCUAAACACGUACAUCAAGGGUGGGGCUCCAAUUCUGGAUAUCAUCCAUCUACAGUCAAUUAUCAAGUGUUUGUGAAGACAAGAGUUGUUAGAGAGCAUAUUGAUCAAUUCCUUACAAUCUAUUUCUAUCACCAGAGGCAGUGGAAGGAAAUGGCUUCGAUAUUGAUAGUAUUAUUGACAAUAAUAUCAUAUGGGAGUUGAUUAUGUGCAUGCUUCAUGAGUGGACCUUGGAUUAAGGAUCUAAGGGGCCCUGCGAUCCAUGCAUCCUACCAGGCAUUGAUUGAACGAUCGUUUCCAAUUUCUCCGCGGACACCUUCUAUACAUAUUUUGGUUCCCUCUACUAUGUUUUUCCAGAUAUGGGAGCCAUUCUUAUCUUGUACUAGUCAAUCUUGUUGAUUAAUGUUUUUGUUAUACUUAUUGUUUAGAACUUUUGUCCAUAGAGAAUUAUUAUCCUUUUUAUACCUC